rnacentral:rRNA from 1 species
UACGGAGGGUGCAAGCGUUAUCCGGAUUCACUGGGUUUAAAGGGCGCGCAGGCGGAUUGGUAAGUCAGUGGUGAAAGGCUUAAGCUUAACUUGGGAACUGCCAUUGAUACUAUCAGUCUUGAAUGUUGUUGAGGUUUGCGGAAUGGGUCAUGUAGCGGUGAAAUGCAUAGAUAUGACACAGAACACCGAUUGCGAAGGCAGCUCACUGGGCAAUGAUUGACGCUGAGGCACGAAAGCGUGGGGAGCAAACAGG